rnacentral:rRNA from 1 species
GACGAACGCUGGCGGCGUGCUUAACACAUGCAAGUCGAACGGAAAGGCCCUGCUUUUGUGGGGUGCUCGAGUGGCGAACGGGUGAGUAACACGUGAGUAACCUGCCCUUUACUUUGGGAUAACUUCAGGAAACUUGGGCUAAUACCGGAUAGGAUCUCCUGCUGCAUGGUGUGGGUUGGAUAGUUUCGGCGGUUGGGGAUGGACUCGCGGCUUAUCAGCUUGUUGGUGGGGUAGUGGCUUACCAAGGCUUUGACGGGUAGCAGGCCUGAGAGGGUGACCGGCCAAAAUGGGACUGAGAUACGGACCAGAAUGCUACGGGAGGCAGCAGUGGGGAAUAUUGCACAAUGGGCGGAAGCCUGAUGCAGCAACGCCGCGUGCGGGAUGACGGCCUUCGGGUUGUAAACCGAUUUAGCAUGUGACGAAGCGUGAGUGACGGUAAUGGGUAAAGAAGCACCGGCUAACUACGUG